CAAAGUAAUAUUGAUGAGGCGAGUUUGGGUUCAGAAACUUUGAGGAGGCCUUGUUCGGCAUACGGGAUCUUCGAAUCCAUAUGGAAGGCCUGCUUCAAUCAACCCAAUUACCACCUGGGCUUUGAUUGAGCUCAAUUUCUGAUCCAUGGACUACCAUGUUUUUUACCCUCCGAAGUCCAAACUCACUCUCCUCCGUUGAGAUUUGCCAUUGCUUCCUCUCCAAUGCUGGCAGCUGCCAGUGAAUGGGUCUGACAGUCUGAGAAAAUGGAGGUGUCGUUUUCAACUGAAAAAUGGAUGAUGUUUCCCGUCGAGUGAAAUGCUAAAAUUAUCUGUAGCUUAUAGAGCAAUAAUUUUGCGAUUUCUUGGCAUCAGGUAAGUAAGGGCAAUUAAUAAUUUUUUGCCUUCUAUUGACUAGUUCAUGAAUUAUUUAGCUUGAUGCUAUGUGGGGUGGGGGAGCUCAAGACCUUCAGCCGUGUCCUUGAAAUUUUGGUAGCCUGAGUUCAUUUUUCCAAGUCCAAUCUUUAGGGGUAUGCUUGUGUAUUGUUAUGCAAUGCUUCCCAAUAUGCAUUUUAUGUUCGUUGAGAUCCAAACAUGGUCUUAGGAAUUAGGCUGAAACAAUGCUUAGUCACAUUUCUAGGCCCCAGAUGUGCUUUGUGUCUCCACUAAGUCUCCCAUUUAAACAUCACAAUACUUCAAGACAUUAUUGGGACUGGCAUACACUUGCAGCUUAAAUUUUUUAAUAGGUAAAUGUGGGUUUGAAUACUAGUCCCACUCUCUCAACAACACGGAAAAGACAGCAGAAGGGUCCUAGUUUGGUCACUUGACAGCACAUAGAAAAGGUGGGAGACAAUCUUGGUCCACUAUGCUGAUUUUAAACCCUACACUAGAGCUUCAGUCAAAGCACUUUUCAUUAUGAAAAUACUUAUUGGCCUUGCCAUUAGCAUGAUUAAGAAUGAGAUGUAUCAUCCUAGUCCAGGGCUCAUCAAAGAUAGAGAAGAAUCCUCUGGAGCAUUAAUUCCUAUAUAUCCAAUUCUUAUCACCAAACAGUUUCUGUUUUGAAUGAGGAAGGAAAGAUAUUUAACUUUUGAUAAUUUUUGAGGAUUUGUUAAUCAUAAGUUUAUUAUUAUUUUUUUAUUUUUUUUCAUGGUAGCCAUGAUGAUCAUCUAAUCCAAUGAAGAAAGAGAAAUGCUACUAUUUGACAUUAUUAACCUCUUAGUUUCCAUAUAAUCUGUGUGUUUAAGAUUUCAAGCCAUAAUCAGAAUACCCUUUUAUAUUGAAUCUAUUAAUUAUAUCUGUCACUCUUUCAAAUACUCUGUUCUCAAGCAUACUGAAGUUUUCUUUUCAUAGAUGUGGCUAAUGGCUAUGAGUAAUUGUUUCAUCUAUAAUCCCAAAUUUAUUGCAUUAAUAACAGGACUUCUUAGUUGCAUGUUUGAGCUGCAAGUUUGAUUCGCAACCCUUGUACGCAUGGAUAGUCAUGUUUAAACUAGAAAUGAUCUCCCUUUUACCCUCCAAAAUUUUCCCAUCCUGGAAUUUUUUUUUAUUGUGUUGUUGGCAACCGAUUUAAGUCCAAUUUAAUAUUUUUCACUAAUAUGUCAAGCUUAUUUCGUUCUUUGGACUUUGACAAUGUCUUAUUAUGGAAACUAUAAUUUCUCAUACUUUCUAAAGUGUAACAUUUCUUAAAAUCUGCAUACGUUACAUCACAUAUAAAAGUUGUUAGGCCAGCAUGAAAUAUUAUCAAUAUAUCAUAGCUAAUACUGCUACACACAAAUGUAAACAUCUUUAAACCUUCGAAGUAUGCAUUAAAAUUUAUAGAGAAAUCAAAGCCAAGGAACUAUAGCGGAUAAUAAGAAAGGGACAUUUACAAACUAAACAGAAGAAAGGAUCACACAACUUAUACCGGCCAUUGUUACCAUUUAUGUCACUGGAAAUGAACAACUGCUCUUGGGUAUUGCUGAAGUUUGGAAUGAAUUUUCCUCAAUUGAAUUGUCCGAGUAUGUGGAAGUAAUCCAUAAAUUUCAGAAGCAUCGAGCGGCAUUUCUUUCGAUUUUCCAGUGCAGAUAUUUAUGAGAAGUUUGUUGUAUUAAAACUGCAAAUAAAUAUCUGGCAAUUAUCUGUCAAGAGAGAAGAUUCUCAGCUGAACUGCCCUUCUUCAUGUCCCUUGAUGUUAGCUGGAGCAUUUCACUCUAUGCUUUUGUUUUGUUUUACCUGUGAAUUUACACACACAAAUCAUGCAAGUCAGAAACAGUUCUUUCCAUUUUAAUUUUAAAAUUUGAUACUAAUAAUUAUUUAGCUCCCUUUAGGCACACUUCAAUAGUUUUUUGAUUGAGAUAUCUGCUACCAAAUGGGAUGGUCUAGUAUGAGGUUUGUAGUAGGAGAUAAAUGGGGAUUAAAAUUCUAUGCUUUUGUGUAUGUAAAAACUGAAGGAUUGAGUAGUAUUACAUAGUUUGUAGCAUGGUUGAUUGAAUGCUGGAUCUUCAGUUGACUUGGGAGGAUCCUGACCAAAUAUCAUCUCGCAACUCAUAUCAUCAAAAUCUGCAAAGUCAGAUGGCACAGAACUAUUAUGAAGUUGCAUUGAUGGAUGGGUUCUAUCAUGAUUCAUCACAUGUUAAUUGCAAAUGGCGACAUUGUGUUUCUGUGCUCAACUUAUGAUUGGCACUUGAGAAUGUGGAUAGACAAAUUUAGAUGCUUGUGGUCAUGUCACAUAUGCUGUAGGCUAUGCAGUAAUAAUUGGUUCCAUGGGAAAUUGAUGAAUAUCGGAAUCUUGCAUAUAACAUGGACUAAAUGGCACUAAUCAUAGAACCAUAUAUGUUUAAUUUACGGUCAAGAAUUUAGGUAUUACUGUCCAUUCGCACAAAUAUAAUUUAUAUUUGUAGUUUCAAUCUCUGUACUGCAAUUCCCACCUCAGAUUGGAUGGGUCUACAUGUGGUUUUGUACCCAAAGUGGUUAAGCUUGGGGCCCUCCCCAAUUACAAGAUGACCGUGGCCUCCACGUUCUCUAGUGCAGAUCCCAUCCCCUUUAAAGGGUGUUGGAAGUAAUAUCACAGUUCUUGAAAGGAAAAUUUUUGCAUACCUCGCAUGGCCCAAUUAGCCAGACGAAAAACAAGGUGGUGAAAGCAGCAAAAUAUUCUCUUGCAAAUUUAGAUUGGGGAAGCACUGUCUUUAUCUGCAUCAACAACUCUGGUUUGCCAUGUUACUAAAGCAAAUACAGGAAAUUCAUAUGUAGCUGCGAAAUGAACUUCAAAAGCACUGCUUAUAAAUGGAAUGAUUAUGUAUCCAGACACGGAUGGCCUUUAAAAAAAACUUAUAUGUAGCAAUUGAGGCAUGCAGCUGCUUGAGAUUGUAACAGUUAUUUUUACAGUUGUGCAGAAAUGAACACGUAUUGUUAGAAAUAUGAAGUCAUCUUGUCCACCAAA